GGAGCCGAGGGGGCCGAUGGAAGGAAUUCCCCUGGGGGGGUGUCUGGUUCAAGGAGGCGCUUAUCUUCCUGCCUUCAGCCUUCACCGAAGAGUGGAGGGGAGUUAGACUGGGGUCACCGGGAGGCCUCUGGAGCCAAACUUUGCAAACUUGGGGUUUAAUGCAAGGGUGGAGCUGGGAGAGGCCCUGGUUAACGUUUCUGUUUACCGAGGCCGACCGUGACCUGCCCGGGGCCCACCCUCACCCGCUCCUAACUGGUCCUCCUGCCCCCACUUUAUGAUGGAGCUCGAGUCUUUCUCCCCUGCGUGUUCUCUCCAGGGAGACAGCUCCCUGGACAAGGUCACUCUUCAGAUAUGUUAUACACACAGAGCUGCCCUCACAAAGGCCUCUUGACUCGGCACACCCGGGCACGCCCAAGACAGGAACUCGCUCCAGCAGAGCCCAGAAGGAACUCAGGAGCCCGCCAGCCCCAGGCCCCACGUCUGGAGAGCACUGUCCGCACUGUGGAGACGGCCGAAUGAAGGAAAAGAGCCUCUGCCUUGAGAAACCAGCCAACAGAGGGGCUUAAAGACAUCUGGGAGGGUGGUGAAGGAAUAUACUAGAACAGAGCCAACAGGGAGAUAGCUACACCUAAUCGGCUGCAGCCGGUGUGUUAGGUCAUGUCCAGCUUACUGAUGCUGGGCGGCGGGAACCAGCAGGGCUUCAGCAAGAGGGCUUUGCUCUACAAGGAAGGCAGUGAGCAUAUCUGAAGUGCCCACUGUAUGCCAGGUGUGUUCACACAUGGGAUCUUUAGUGUCAGCGCCCAACAGAACUGUGAUGUUAAGUCCAUCAGUUCAGAGAAGCAGGGCUCCGAGAGGUCAAGAAACUUGCUUGAGGUCACACAGCUGGGAAGGGACAAGCCCACCCGUCUGCGGGGCUGUGAGGCAACUCCGCCUCCCACUAUCUCCGACUGCCGAGAUGGCAGGAGUUUAGCAAAGUUUCAAGGAAGAGGAACAGGGAGAUGGCUCGGAAGGUGAAGCGGAGUUUUGAGUCAGUUGUCUUAAGAGAUUUGCUGAUUUUUUUUUUUUUUUUUUAAUUCUAAACCAAGAUCGUGGCUUUGCCACCGCCCCCUCUGGGCCCACCCUUCUAUUGCUCCCUGCUCAGUGCAAAGCUGACCUAUACCUUUGAGGAUGUAACAGGCAGUUCCUUUUGUUUUCCCCCAAACAUAGGCUCUGUGAGACCAAAUCCUGCAGGAAAAGAAGGUAGAGACGACAGCACACACACCGUUCUGGUCACUUUGGCGACUUUCCCUAAAAGGUCUGGCACCGUCCUCCCGUGUCCACAGAUGAGACAACUGGAACAAGAGAAGCGUCUCUCCAGGAACGCAGGGGUGGCAAGCGGCAGGGACUAGAAUCCAGGCAGGCUGUCUGCCGGCCCCUCCUAACCCCCACGUUCCGCCUCCGAGGCUGGCAGACACCGAGCCAGAGUUCGGUGCCUUGCGCUUUGCAUGUGUUAUCUCAGGCCACAGGGAAGGAAGAGGCGGAGUCCCGGCCUCCGGUUCAGCCCAGUGGCCUUUCACGAGGCCCACUCUGCUCUUUGGACGCCUGGCUUCCGUGAACCAGCAUUGUCUGGGGCUCCUCCGUUUCCACCCUAACUUUGCAGGACAAGAUUGGGCGGUCCCCCACCCACCUGUCACGUUCCGUCCUCACCAGCCUCCCACUGGGGGACUUAGAAGCGGCUCCAGCCACAGCCUCGGGAGACAGAAACAUGACGUGUGGGGGCAUCGACAGGAACUUACUUGUUAGCCCACAGAGACACUGUGAUGCUGCCGCUGCUCUUCAAAGUUAGGGCAAGUUGGAAAGCUUCAGAGUGUGAACAAAGCAUCCUGCUGACCCAGGAAGCUGAUGUCAAGGAAAUAAAACAGUCCAGGGCCACCCAGGGCAGUGAUGGAGAAGCUCUUAGGAGGAUGUGCUGGUCCUUCCAGGCUCCCUUCCAUUAAUGUGCAUCAGGGAGCUGGCCCCGCUGCCUAGGACGAUCCUGAGGGUUUAGGGCAGCCUGUCGGAGGACGCUCCUCCGAGAGAAGGUACCCAUCAUUCCACGCUGCCCUUUCUAUCCUGACCUUAGGCUAAAUGAGCAGUCACCUCCCACCCCCUGCUAAGCCGUGUCGCAAAGCAUCCUCAUUAACUGACAACGAUGCCUCCUUUUGCUUCUGUCUGGUCACCAGGCUUUCCCAGCCACAGCACAGAAGGGCCCCUCUGCCCAUGAGACCCACCUUUCCAGAGGAAGGUCUGCCUGGAGCCAUGUCAUCCAGGGACUGACCUGAACUAACUUGGCCAAACAGAGAGGAUCCCGCUUUUCUUGACUUCUUUCCAGAAUCUCAGAGUUCUCGGGAUCCUCAGGGGCUCUGCAGCGCCAGGACGGAGGUUUGAUCCCCGGCCUGGCACAGUGGGUUCAAGGAUCUGGCGUUGCCUCGGGUGUGGCGUAGAUCACAACUGCAGCUCGGAUCUGAUCCCUGGCCCGAGAAAUCCAUAUGCAGCAGGGCGGCCAAAAAAGAAAGGGAAAAAAAUUAAAAAGAAUCUUGAAAGACUAGAGAGGUAAGAAGGUACAUAUUGCAUGAAAAUAGAGUCUGUGAUACGCUGUCCACACUUGAUCCUGUGUGUAAGAUAUUGUCUCUGCCUUCAAGAGGCUACAGUCCAAGGUGAGAGGGUGCAUAUGGGAAAAAAGCCUUAAUGUAAAGUGAUGCUUGUGAAUUACCAAACACAGGCAGAGAAAAGUGCUUUGGAAUCAGAGAAGGAAGAAGAGUUCAACCAUAAGUAAAUGAAACAAAACCCAAAUAUAAAAUAACAGAAAUAACAUAUGGUCUCCUGUUACAUGAAUUCAUUCCUUCACUGGCUCACACACAGCCUGUGCAAGGCUGCUUUUAGAUCGAGUUCCAGUGAGUUUACUAUUUCCUAUGCUUGUAAGGGCUUAACUAUGCCUGGUCUGCUCUUCUAGCAUCUUUGCUGUUUGGGUUUUUUUUUUUUUUUUUUCCAAAAAAAAAAAAAAAUUCUAGAAACUAUUUUUGAAGCAAACCCUUCCUCCUGGGAUACACCUUUCCUUCGGGCCCUUGCUUUUGAAGUCGCGCCCCCUUCUCUGAGCCGGUGGCCUCUUCCGAGGUCUCUUUCAGGCCGGAGGCCUGUGGGGUGUCACCGUGCGCCACCUGUUUUCAAUUAAACCCCUCGAGCUGAAGCGGAGUAAAUGUCUUUAGCAAGUGGGUUUUCCAAAGGGUCAAUCUUAUUUUGAACCAACGUGUCAAAACAAAACCAACUCAACUUACGACACACAUAAAGCAAAUAAAUACAUCUCUUUGAGGAUUUACCUUAAAAAUUACCAGGUCAAAGCAAGAUGCAGAGCACCCACAAGGCUUCCGGAGUGGGGGGGAUUUUUUUUCAGUUUCCCCCGUAAAGGGUGAAGAAAUGGCAUCAGUGUCUUGGCCACAGCAUGGUUAAGACUGGACUCAGGAGUUCCCGUCAUGGCUCAGCAGUUAACGAACCCGACUAGCAUCCAUGAGGCCGAACGUUCAAUCCCUGGCCUCGCUCUGUGGGUUAAGGAUCUAGCGUUGCCGUGGGCUGUGGUGUAGGUCGCAGACUCGGCCCGGAUCUGGCGUUGAUCUGGCUGUGCGGUAGACCGGCGGCUACAGCUCCAAUUCAACCCCGAGCCUGGGAACCUCCAUAUGCCGCCGGGGGCAGCCCCCAAAAGACAAACACACAUGCACACACACACAAAAGACUGGACUCAGACCUGGGAUGGUUCCUGCCUCCUCCCCUGCUCGUGCCCAGGAUUAGGGUGGGCUAAUGAGAGAGCCCCCUUCACCUGCUGUCGCCUCCUCGUCCUCGCCCAGUACAGACUGGGGAAGGGUGUCGGGCCCAGAGGGACCUGGGCAUCGGAGGCUGGGAAGGGCGAUGCUCCCUCUUCCCUCCGCCCCGCAGCAGGCGGACCCCUGGGGGGGCGGGGCCUAGCAGGUGACCCCCCAAGGACCCUGGCACUUGGCCUGCCCCCGUCUCAUCUGCCCGCUUCGCCCUCUGGGGCGGGAGCGCUAUGAGGGGCACAUCACCCCAGGGGCUGCGUCCUUAUCAUUUGGACUAAAGAGGCAAACACCCUGCUCGCCGUUCGGGACACCAUUGGAGGGUGUAACAGAAGGUGCCUUACGGUCAUUUUCUUUGGCCCAGAAGGUAUUUUGAAAACAAUUUAUUGGUUUGCAAAUGGUGAAAUAUAAGAAAAUUUCUUAGAAAAAUCCAGAAUUACAGCUUCUCUGGAAAAGUUAGAAUAGCUGGCUGUACUGGUCCCACAAUUCCCCGUGGCAACAACGAGCCUGCUAAGUGCCCUCCGCAAACUCUCAGACCCCACCCCCUUGGGCCUGUGUGUCCGGGCACUGCUCCCGAGGCGGGCACCAAGGGCAGGGAACUGUCGGGCUCUAUCUUGCUCAAGGGGGCGUCCCUGCCUCCUCCGAAGCCCCAGCCAGAGGAUGCUCCCUGCCCCCACCCGGUCUCUGCAGAGCAGCAGCCCACAGGGGCCUCUCUCUGAUGCUGAGGAACCCUUUUUUGGUUUUGUUUUGUUUUUUGUUUUUUUGCUUUUUCUUUAGGGCGGCAUGUGGAGGUUCCCAGGCUAGGGGUCAAAUUGGAGCUUCAGCCACCGGCCCACGCCACGGCCAUAGGCAUGCCAGAUCCGAGCUGUGUCUGUGACCUACACCACAGCUCACGGCCACACUGGAUCCUUAACCCGCUGAGCGAGGCCAGGGAUCAAACCUGCGUCCUCAUGGAUACCAGUCAGAUUUGUUUCCGCUGAGCCAUGGGAGCACAGACUUGUGGGAAAGCAUCCGUACUCACAGUUAUUCCACCCUCUUUACUGUGCUUCUGGGCAGGGUCUGGGACAGCAGGGUCAGAGAGGGGCCUCGCUGCUGAGCUGGAGACAGUCCCCUUGGCCCUGGUCAGCUGCUCCUGUGCCUCUGCCGCCAUCACUCAAUGCAAGGGAAACUCCAGGGGCACCCACCCUCCACACCCCUAAUCUAUAUGCAGAUCACACUGUUUUGCUCAUCAGCCAGCGGGCAAGGGAGACUUUGCAUAGGCAAAUGCCGGAACAGUGGUUUUCCUGGCAGACCUGACCUUGGACCACCCCCUAGUGAUGGCAGGCCUGCCCUGGGCUAUAAGCAGGAAAGGAGAGGGAGUUUUAGAGAAACAACCAACCGAGGAGGCCUCAGAGGAGAGACCCUUCUGUGCUCUCACUGUCGGGAGGUGGCAUCUACCCCGCCCAGACGUGCGCCUUCCUGGAAACAGGUGCGCUUCACGUCUCCCAUCCUUAAACGCACUCGUUCAGCACCACGACAUGGGGAAGCUCGGCGCUUCUCGGCAUAGGUUCCCCCUGUCCUCCUGGAUGAACUGUAAGCUCCUUGAGGGCAGGGAGGGUGACUUCAGGUCUCCAUACAAUAUGUCACACAAUGUUCUCCAGCAUGCCUGGUGACAAAAAGGAGUGUUUAUGGAGAGUUACCUAAAGUGCAAAUGAUUUAAUAAAUAUAGACGGAUACCAUGAAGAUUAUGAAAUCGCUGCCCAUCCAUCAGCCCUCAUGAAAUUCUAGGAUGUGUCUGAACAAAGUUUACAAGUAAUGUUGCUAUUUUAUGGCUUAAAAAAAAGAAAAAGAAAAA
rnacentral:lncRNA from 1 species